rnacentral:lncRNA from 1 species
GAAUCAGAAGCAAUUUUCUUUCUAAAACAUGUUCAUGAGGUGAUUUUUUCGUUCGAGUUUAUUCUAACAUCAAUAUCGACUCUACUUUCAACUGUUACGAUGAUGGCAUUUAUUCCUGUAGGAAAACAUAUCAUUUCUAAUUCGAUCGGAAUUUUUUUUUGUGUUGCGCAUUACUGAUGUAACUAUUAUGCCAUGGAAUCUCAUGCAAUUUGCGCAUGAGCUGGUGGCUAUAAUUCCAUGACCUGCAUCCAACGAGAUCUUAUUAUUUUCAAUACACUGAAGUUGUCUUCGG